UGUCGUCUCCUGCAGAC
rnacentral:misc_RNA from 1 species